rnacentral:rRNA from 1 species
AACGAACGCUGGCGGCAGGCUUAACACAUGCAAGUCGAGCGCCCCGCAAGGGGAGCGGCAGACGGGUGAGUAACGCGUGGGAAUCUACCGAGCCCUGCGGAAUAGCUCCGGGAAACUGGAAUUAAUACCGCAUACGCCCUACGGGGGAAAGAUUUAUCGGGGUUUGAUGAGCCCGCGUUGGAUUAGCUAGUUGGUUGGGUAAUGGCCUACCAAGGCGACGAUCCAUAGCUGGUCUGAGAGGAUGAUCAGCCACAUUGGGACUGGGACACGGCCCAAACGCCUGCGGGAGGCAGCAGUGGGGAAUAUUGGACAAUGGGGCAAGCCUGAUCCAGCCAUGCCGCGUGAGUGAUGAAGGCCUUAGGGUUGUAAAGCUCUUUCGCCGACGAAGAUAAUGACGGUAGUCGGAGAAGAAGCCCCGGCUAACUUCGUGCCAGCAGCCGCAGUAAAAC